AGACUAAGCCAUGCAUGUGUCAGUACAAACCAUAACUAAAGUGAAACCGCGAAUGGCUCAUUAAAUCAGCUAUGAUUCAUUGGAUCUUUCUACCCAGUUUCCUUGGAUAACUGUGGUAAUUCUAGAGCUAAUACAUGCAAAUUUAGUCCCUAACCUUGCGGGAAGGGCGCUUUUAUUAGUAUCAAAACCGGUCGGGCUUCGGUCUGUAAACCCACCAGUGAUGACUCUGGAUAACUUUUAGCUGAGCGCACGGUCUUUGCACUGGCGCCGCUUCUUUCAAGUGUCUGCCUUAUCAGCUUUCGAUUGUAAGUUAUGUGCUUACAAUGGCUAUAACGGGUAACGGGGAAUCAGGGUUCGAUUCCGGAGAGGGAGCCUGAGAAACGGCUACCACAUCUAAGGAAGGCAGCAGGCACGCAAAUUACCCACUCCCAGUACGGGGAGGUAGUGACGAAAAAUAACGAUGCGAGACUCAUCCGAGGCCUCGCAAUCGGAAUGAGUACACUUUAAAUCCUUUAACGAGGAUCGAUUGGAGGGCAAGUCUGGUGCCAGCAGCCGCGGUAAUUCCAGCUCCAAUAGCGUAUAUUAAAGUUGUUGCGGUUAAAAAGCUCGUAGUUGGAUUUCAGUAUUGGACUGAUGGUUCACCUUCUGGUGUUUAAAAACCUAUCAUGCUUCAAAACCAGCUAACACAACAACUUUGUGUCUACGCCCCACUAGCUCACACGGGGUGCUCUUAAUCGAGUGUCCCGAGUGGCUGGUAUGUUUACUUUGAAAAAAUUAGAGUGCUUAAAGCAGGCUAAGUAUAUAGCCUGAAUGUCUGUGCAUGGAAUAAUAAAAGAGGACCUCGGUUCCAUUUUGCCAGUUUUGCCUGGAACCCGAGUUAAUGAUUAACAGGCACAGAUGGGGGCAUUAGUACUGCGACGCUAGAGGUGAAUUCUUGGAGGAUGUUUUCAUUAAUCAAGAACGAAAGUUAGAGGUUCGAAGGCGAUCAGAUACCGCCCUAGUUCUAACCAUAAACGAUGCUGACCAGCGAUCCGCCGGUGUUAAUACCAUGACUCGGCGGGCAGCUUCCGGGAAACCAAAGUCUUUGAGUUCCGGGGGAAGUAUGGUUGCAAAGCUGAAACUUAAAGGAAUUGACGGAAGGGCACCACCAGGAGUGGAGCCUGCGGCUUAAUUUGACUCAACACGGGAAACCUCACCAGGCCCAGACACUGGAAGGAUUGACAGAUUGAGAGCUCUUUCUCGAUUCAGUGGGUGGUGGUGCAUGGCCGUUCUUAGUUGGUGGAGCGAUUUGUCUGGUUAAUUCCGAUAACGAACGAGACUCUGGCCUAUUAACUAGUCGACGGAUCACUAUAAUGAAUGAGUGUCCAGUUCGCAACAUCUUCUUAGAGGGAUAAGCGGUAGUCCUAGCCGCACGAGAUUGAGCAAUAACAGGUCUGUGAUGCCCUUAGAUGUUCUGGGCCGCACGCGCGCUACACUGAAGGGAUCAGAGUGUUUUCCCCCUCCGAGAGGAGUGGGUAACCCGAUGAAACCCCUUCAUGAUAGGGAUUGGGGCUUGCAAUUGUUUCCCAUGAACGAGGAAUUCCCAGUAAGCGCAAGUCAAGAGCUUGCGUUGAUUACGUCCCUGCCCUUUGUACACACCGCCCGUCGCUACUACCGAUUGAAUGAUUUAGUGAGGCCUUCGGACUGUCGCUCUUGGAUGUCUGACUGCUGUUAUACCACAUGGUUCAGUAAGUUCGUGCCUAGAGCUGACGGAAAGAUGUCCAAACUUGAUCAUUUAGAGGAAGUAAAAGUCGUAACAAGGUUUCC
rnacentral:rRNA from 1 species